GCUGGUGUGGCUCAGUGGUUAGAGCGUCGGUCUGCACACCAGAGGGUCGUGGGUUCGAUUCCCGCCCCCAUUG